rnacentral:rRNA from 1 species
GUGCCAGCCGCCGCGGUAAUACGAGAGGCCCAAACGUUAUUCGGAAUUACUGGGCUUAAAGAGUUCGUAGGCGGCGCGGAAAGUAGGGUGUGAAAGCCCUCGGCUUAACCGAGGAAUUGCGCCCUAAACUACCGUGCUUGAGGAAGCUAGAGGUGAGCGGAACUGAUGGUGGAGCGGUGAAAUGCGUUGAUAUCAUCAGGAACACCGGAGGCGAAGGCGGCUCACUGGGGCUUUUCUGACGCUGAGGAACGAAAGCCAGGGUAGCGAACGGGAUUAGAUACCCGGGUAGUCC